rnacentral:rRNA from 1 species
UGGUCAAGUUAUUAAGGGUGCAGGGCGGAUGCCUUGGCACUAGGAGCCGAUGAAGGACGUGAUAAGCUGCGAUAAGCUUCGGGGAGUUGCACGUAAACUUUGAUCCGAAGAUUUCCGAAUGAGGAAACUCACUUAGAGUAAUGUCUAAGUAUCAUUAAGUGAAUACAUAGCUUAAUGAGGGGAACUCAGGGAACUGAAACAUCUAAGUACCUGAAGGAAGAGAAAGAAAUUCGAUUCCGUAAGUAGCGGCGAGCGAACGCGGAUUAGCCCAAACCAAUAAAGUUUUCUUUAUUGGGGUUGCGGACAUAUCAUAACGAAGAGGUAUCGUAAUUGAAGAGGUUUGGAAAGACCCACCACAGAAGGUAAUAGUCCUGUAUGUUAAACGAGAAGACUUUAGAUAUGAUCCAGAGUACCACGGGACACGUGAAACCCUGUGGGAAGCAGGAGGGACCACCCUCCAAGGCUAAAUACUACCUAGUGACCGAUAGCGUAUAGUACCGUGAGGGAAAGGUGAAAAGAACCCCGGGAGGGGAGUGAAAUAGAACCUGAAACCCUGCACUUACAAGCUGUGGAAGCACAUUUCUUGUGUGACCGCGUACUUUUUGUAGAACGGGCCAACGAGUUACGUUAAGUAGCAAGGUUAAGCACUUAAGGUGUGGAGCCGUAGCGAAAGCGAGUUUUAACUGAGCGUUCAGUUACUUGACGUAGACCCGAAACCGGGCGACCUACCCAUGAGCAGGAUGAAGCGAAAGUAAAAUUUCGUGGAGGUCCGAACCCACGAGCGUUGAAAAGCUCGGGGAUGACUUGUGGGUAGCGGUGAAAUUCCAAUCGAGCCCGGAGAUAGCUGGUUCUCCCCGAAAUAGCUUUAGGGCUAGCCUCAAGGUGAGAGAUACGGAGGUAGAGCACUGAAUGUCCUAGGGGGUAUUGCACCUACCGAAGACUAUCAAACUCCGAAUGCCGUCAUCUUAUACUUGGGAGUCAGACUGUGGGUGAUAAGAUUCAUAGUCGAAAGGGCAACAGCCCAGAUCGUCAGCUAAGGUCCCUAAAUGUAAGUUAAGUGGUAAAGGAUGUGGGAUUGCACAGACAACCAGGAUGUUGGCUUAGAAGCAGCCACUCAUUCAAAGAGUGCGUAAUAGCUCACUGGUCGAGUGAUCCUGCGCCGAAGAUUUCCGGGGCUAAAACUUACUACCGAAGCUACGGCAUCAGUAAUGAUGGGUAGGGGAGCUUCCCAUACGGGUUGAAGCAUGACCGUAAGGACAUGUGGACAGUAUGGGAGUGAGAAUGUUGGCAUGAGUAGCGAGAUGUGGGUGAGAAUCCCACAGGCCGUAAACCCAAGGUUUCCAGGGGAAGGUUCGUCCGCCCUGGGUUAGUCGGGACCUAAGCUGAGGCCGAAAGGCGUAGGUGAUGGACAACAGGUUGAUAUUCCUGUACUACCGAUAACCGUUUGAGAGAAGGGAUGACACAGUAGGAUAAGCUAAGCACACUGUUGGUUAUGUGUGCCCAAGCAUUGAGGCAGUCAAAGUAGGCAAAUCCGCUUUGAUAAUGCUGGGAUGUGAUGGGGAGCGAAAUUUAGUAGCGAAGUAGCUGAUUUCACACUGUCAAGAAAAGUCUCUAUCGAGGUUAAAGGUACCCGUACCGCAAACCGACACAGGUGGGUGAGGAGAGUAUCCUAAGGCCAGCGAGAGAACUGUUGUUAAGGAACUCGGCAAAAUGACCCCGUAACUUAGGGAUAAGGGGUGCCACCAUCAGGUGGCCGCAGAGAAUAGGCCCAAGCGACUGUUUACCAAAAACAUAGGUUUCUGCUAAGUCGCAAGACGAUGUAUAGGAGCUGACGCCUGCCCGGUGCUGGAAGGUUAAGGGGAUCUGUUAGAGCAAUCGAAGCAGUGAACUUAAGCCCCAGUAAACGGCGGCCGUAACUAUAACGGUCCUAAGGUAGCGAAAUUCCUUGUCGGGUAAGUUCCGACCCGCACGAAAGGCGUAACGAUUUGGGCACUGUCUCAACAACAGACUCGGUGAAAUUGUAAUUCCGGUGAAGAUGCCGGAUACCUGCGACAGGACGGAAAGACCCCAUGGAGCUUUACUGUAGCUUGACAUUGGGUCUUGGUACUACAUGUACAGGAUAGGUGGGAGGCUUUGAAACCAGGACGCCAGUUUUGGCGGAGCCAUCCUUGGGAUACCACCCUUGUAGUACUGGGACUCUAACCAUAGGCCAUGAAUCUGGUCUUGGGACACUGUCAGGUGGGCAGUUUGACUGGGGCGGUCGCCUCCCAAAAGGUAACGGAGGCGCUCAAAGGUUCUCUCAGUACGGUCGGAAAUCGUACGUAGAGUGUAAAGGCAAAAGAGAGCUUGAUUGCAAGACAUACAGGUCGAGCAAGGAUGAAAAUCGGACUUAGUGAUCCGGUGGUUCUGCGUGGAAGGGCCAUCGCUCAACGGAUAAAAGCUACCCUGGGGAUAACAGGCUUAUCUCCCCCAAGAGUCCACAUCGACGGGGAGGUUUGGCACCUCGAUGUCGGCUCAUCACAUCCUGGGGCUGUAGUAGGUCCCAAGGGUUGGGCUGUUCGCCCAUUAAAGUGGUACGCGAGCUGGGUUCAGAACGUCGUGAGACAGUUCGGUCCCUAUCCGUCGCAGGCGUAGGAAAUUUGAGAAGACCUGUCCUUAGUACGAGAGGACCGGGAUGGACGUACCUCUGGUGUACCAGUUGUCCUGCCAAGGGCAUGGCUGGGUAGCUAUGUGCGGAAUGGAUAAGCGCUGAAAGCAUCUAAGCGCGAAGCCAACUUCAAGAUAAGAUUUCCCACCGCAAGGGUAAGACCCCAGAAAGACUAUCUGGUUGAUAGGUCGAAGGUGUAAGUGCAGCAAUGUAUUUAGCUUAUCGAUACUAAUAGGUCGAGGACUUGACCAA